rnacentral:ncRNA from 1 species
GACCCAGUAUCCAAAUUGUCACCGUAUGGUGCGCGUUUCAAGCAAUCGCUUGAAUAGGGACUGGGUCGAAC